rnacentral:rRNA from 1 species
AGCGAACGCUGGCGGCAGGCUUAACACAUGCAAGUCGAACGCCCCGCAAGGGGAGUGGCAGACGGGUGAGUAACACGUGGGAACGUACCCUUUGGUUCGGAAUAACUUGGGGAAACUCAAGCUAAUACCGGAUAAGCCCUUAUGGGGAAAGGUUUACUGCCGAAGGAUCGGCCCGCGUCUGAUUAGCUAGUUGGUGAGGUAAUGGCUCACCAAGGCGACGAUCAGUAGCUGGUCUGAGGGGAGGAUCAGCCACACUGGGACUGAGACACGGCCCAGACUCCUACGGGAGGCAGCAGUGGGGAAUAUUGGACAAUGGGGGCAACCCUGACCCAGCCAUGCCGCGUGAGUGAUGAAGGCCUUAGGGUUGUAAAGCUCUUUUACCCGGGACGAUAAUGACUGUACCGGGAGAAUAAGCCCCGGCUAACUUCGUGCCAGCAGCCGCCGUAA